rnacentral:rRNA from 1 species
GACGAACGCUGGCGGCGUGCCUAAUACAUGCCAGUAGAACGCUGAAGGAGGAGCUUGCUCUUCUGGAUGAGUUGCGAACGGGUGAGUAACGCGUAGGUAACCUGCCUGGUAGCGGGGGAUAACUAUUGGAAACGAUAGCUAAUACCGCAUAACAGUAGAUGUUGCAUGACAUUUACUUAAAAGGUGCAAUUGCAUCACUACCAGAUGGACCUGCGUUGUAUUAGCUAGUUGGUGGGGUAACGGCUCACCAAGGCGACGAUACAUAGCCGACCUGAGAGGGUGAUCGGCCACACUGGGACUGAGAAACGGCCCAGACUCCUACGGGAGGCAGCAGUAGGGAAUCUUCGGCAAUGGACGGAAGUCUGACCGAGCAACGCCGCGUGAGUGAAGAAGGUUUUCGGAUCGUAAAGCUCUGUUGUAAGAGAAGAACGAGUGUGAGAGUGGAAAGUUCACACUGUGACGGUAUCUUACCAGAAAGGGACGGCUAACUACGUG